rnacentral:lncRNA from 1 species
CCCCCGUUCCUGGUGUCUUUUACAGUUCCUAUAACCCUUCAUAUGUUACAGGUCAUCAUCUUUUGUUAUGUGCGUAGUGUUUUGUGGACUUUUGUAUCAAGUUGAAGCUGUACCUUGACCUAAAAUUGUUUACUUUUAUAAAUUGUUACUUGGAUGGAGAGUUGUGUCAUUGGCACUCAUACCACAUCUUCCUUUAUCUAUUGGUUGUCUUUUCGUCGUCUUGUAUUUUUUAACAUGUUGUUGUCAGUGUCUUGUGGGAGUAAAUGUCUCCCUAAUAUACCUCCCGUUUUUCUUCACUGUCUAGCCGAGGACAUAUUAUGAAGUCAUUCUUUCCAAAAGUACAAGAAAAAACAGAGAUGAAAAUAUAUGUUUGACUAACGGAUGGACAAACAAGGGAUAUGAAGUUUGCC